rnacentral:lncRNA from 1 species
GGCUAAAUGGAGUCUUGCUCACAUUUUCAGAGGCAGGAGUUGAAAGUAUACUGAACACCAUCUAAAGUCCAGGCUUUCCAGGGAGCGUGAGGGGCUUGCUUCUCUAGUCCCCCCACAGCCUACGAGGGAGGCAUCACCGGCUCCAUCCCACAGAUAAGGAAAUGCAACCUCUGCAGGAUUAAAGAUCCUCCUCAGUUAAGGAAGCCAGAACCCCAACACUGCACUCCAUGGACUAUGGCAAGUCUGUCUCUCUGAAGACUCUGGAGAAUUUAAGUCUUCUUCAGCUUCCUAGGGCCGUUCUCCUGUGACUCAUCACCCUCUUCCAACUUCAAACCCACCAGUGGCCAGCCAAGUGUUCUCCAAGUCUCUGAACACUGAUACUCCCUCCCACCCCUCCCUCUAAGGACCUCACGUUUAUACUGUGUUCACCCAGAUAAUCCUGGACCAUCCGCCCAACUCGAAGUCAACUGUCAACAGCAUAGAUCGACCUCAACCACAGUUCUUCUUUAUCACAUGACUUAACAUUUUCACAGGCUCUGAAGAUCAGUGCCUGGCAUCUUUGAGGAGCCAUCCCUCUGCCCACCACCCUCAGCAGCUAAUGGGGGGCCUCUGUCCACCUCUCCAUCCCUGUCUGCCUGGACGAGAGCAUAGAACCCCAACUGCCUGAUUGAGGACACAGAGGCCCCAACUGUCUGGAUGUUGGGAGCACAAAGGUCCUUGUGCUCAGAGAUAGGCACUAAGGAAACCCGGAAUGUCAAACAUGCGGGGUUGGCUCUUCAACAAAAGAAAUGUAUAACCUGUUUUCCUCCCAGAAGGCUAAGGAUGAAAGAAGGCUGUUGAUAACCUAAUGGCCUGUGCUAUCUGCAGGGCCAGGCAAGACCUGACUCCCUCAGACUCAUUUAUGUUUAUCCCAGACCUCCUCUCUAGACCUUUAUCUUUAGCAUUGUUCCUCCAUCAAUAGAACUCAUCUUUAUGGGAGAUGCCACACAUACUUUUUAGCCUGGUGACCUCUGUACUGUCGGCAUGACAGAAACCACACAAGAUCCUCCCCUAAGGCCUUAAGCUAUAGAACUCAACUUUGUGGAAGAAGGCAACUGUACUUUAGAAAAGAGUUUUGAGGUCAUUGUGCUUUAAGCUUUAUUGUGCACAAAAGACUGAGUUAAUUGUUAGCAGGAAACUUUUUUCCAAAUUGUACUGUACUUACGUAUGCCUAAUGUCAGGAGUGGUGGUACAUGCCUUUAAUCUCAGCAUUUGGGAGACAGAAGCAGUCCCUGUUAGUUUAAAACCAGUCUGGCUUGCAAAGUGAGGUUUAAGACAACCAGAGCUACAUAGUGAGACCCUGUCUUGAAAACAAACAAAAUUAUGUCU